rnacentral:lncRNA from 1 species
CUGGAAGAAAGGCGGGAGGUAGCUCAAGUUCGAAUGACAGCCUACAGACAGAAAGUCGCUCGCUAUUACAACUCCCAGGUCAAGAACAAAGUCUUUAGAGCAGGAGAUCUAGUGCUUCGACGAGCCGCUGUCUCGCAACCUCAGGAUCGAGGGAAGCUCACCCCAAACUGAGAAGGCCCGUAUGAGGUCAAAGAAGUAGUCCAGUCCGGAACU